CGGAUGUAUGAGGCUGUCCUAAAAUUAACACUUUAGGUAUGACUCUGGGACGAAAAAAACUUGAUGUACUAAAUGUUGAAAACCACGAAACAUGAGAGUAGUAAAUAGAAUUAAACCCUUCUAUAUAUAAUGCGCUUAAGGGAGUAAAAUGUUCCAACUUUUGUGACAAGUUGAAAAUUUUCAGUUUUGCUAAAUGACAUAUAUAUUUGUUAUAGUGAGAGAUAUCAACUAUGUGAAGAAAGUUGAGGUUUCACCAUAAAACUAAUUGACAAUAUGGGAAAUAGUGAUGUUAUUCCCACACCGAUGUCUUAUCUUCCCAUCCACCUUUUAAUGAAUUUUUUAAUUACAAAUUUGUCCAUUUACAAAAAGACUGAUAAGGACAUUAAUUAUCUUGUUUUGCUUAAUUUAAAUAAAAUAAAAAAAUAGGCUGGGCAUGGAAGACAAUUUGUCUACCUUAAACCCUAAAUCAUAUUUUCAUCUCCUUUCAUUCAGAGAAAGUAAAAAAAUAGCAAUGGACUUAGAAGGUGACUUUUUCAUUGAACAGGUAGAAGAUGACGCUUCUACGAAAGAGGUAGAAGAUUAUGUUUCCAUUGAAAAGGUAGAAGAAUAAUUUGUGUGUAGGUCAUUUGAAUUUGUCCAUCGUAUUUUUAAAUUUGUCGUUGUCGAAUUCUUUUGAAUUUGGGUACUUCUGUCAUUUCCAUUUGAAUUUGCAGACCUUAGUGGUUUUCAUUUACAUAUUAUUUGUUAUAUUUUUUAAGAGACAAUUUUAUAAUUUCAUAUGUAUGUAUAUAUUAAAGGUUAUUUUAGGAAUAAUAGUGGGUGGGAAAAUAACAUUUUAAUUUUUUAACUUUUUAAGGUGGGUGAGAUUAUAACGUGGGUGGGAAAAUAAGACAAUGGGGUGGGACUAGUAGCUCUAAAAAAUCACCCAACUUACUUAUAAGCCUUUGCAAAAUUUCUCUUUUCACAGAUAUGGGACUCUUUAACCUUUGCGUACUCACAUGCCCCUCACGUGUGGCGAAUUUUCAAGCCUAACACGUGGACAACACAACUCCGGUGAUGUGGAGCACGUGUAGCUGUUGAGCUCACAUGUGAGACAACCUGCUAUGAGACCAUAAAGAGAAUUGAGGUUCUUUCAUAAAACCAAUUGGCAAUAUAUAAAUCCUUGCAAGGUUUAUCCUUUCACCAAUUUGGGACUCUUCCACCUUUUGUUUUUCUACAAAAAAAAAAAAAAAAGACGGAAAAUCCUCUCACACUCUAUUUGGAUGAGGAAAUUUAAGAUUUUUAAGGAAUUUUAUAAUGAUGGAAAUUGAAAUGACGGAAUUUUAUUUUCUAGAAUUUGUGAAUUUUAUUGUUUUGUUAACCUAAAAGAACAAUAGAAUUUGAAUACGAAAUUUGUUAUUUUUGAGCUCUAACUUAUAUAAAUUAAGAAAUAAUAUCUAUUUACAUGGAAUUUAAACUUGAGAAUUGGAGGUCCCAAAUUUCAAGUUUUUUUUUUCCACGCGAAAAUUUUAAAUUUCUAUGUUUAUGAAUCCAAAUAAGAGAAUUGAUGCAUGUCAAUUUAUAAAUUCUAACUUUUUUCUGAAAUUUCAAAUUUAUUUCCCUCAUUCAAACAUAGUGUUAAACGACUAAAAUUGAAAUAAUACAAGAAUCAAGUUGAUCUUGCCUCAUUAGUCAUUAGGAAGAGUCAUUUAUAUAACAAUCCAACAAGAAGAAGACAUCAGCCAUAGCAUUUGUCACAAAGUUUGCUUCUAAUAAAUAUGUUGAAAUUCAAUGGCAAAUGAAAAUGGUACCGUUAACAACACCAAUAAGGACUUUAAAAUCUCCCUCCACUUCCAAGUUGGUAUAUAUAGAUAUAUGGUCCAUCUUAUGUUGCCCUAUUUCUUGUCAAUUGUCAUGCUUUUGUUUUAGAUUUACCAAAGGGAUUUCCUUACUAUAU
rnacentral:lncRNA from 1 species